UACGUAGGGUGCAAGCGUUGUCCGGAAUUAUUGGGCGUAAAGAGCUCGUAGGCGGUCUGUCGCGUCUGCUGUGAAAACUCAGGGCUUAACCCUGAGCUUGCAGUGGGUACGGGCAGACUAGAGUGCGGUAGGGGAGACUGGAAUUCCUGGUGUAGCGGUGAAAUGCGCAGAUAUCAGGAGGGAACACCGGUGGCGAAGGCGGGUCUCUGGGCCGUAACUGACGCUGGAGGGAAGCGAAAGCAUGGGGAGCGAACAGG
rnacentral:rRNA from 1 species